rnacentral:rRNA from 1 species
GACGAACGCUGGCGGCGUGCUUAACACAUGCCAGUCGAACGGAAAGGCCCUGCUUUUGUGGGGUGCUCGAGUGGCGAACGGGUGAGUAACACGUGAGUAACCUGCCCUUGACUUUGGGAUAACUUCAGGAAACUGGGGCUAAUACCGGAUAGGAGCUCCUGCUGCAUGGUGGGGGUUGGAAAGUUUCGGCGGUUGGGGAUGGACUGGCGGGUUACAAGCUGGUUGGUGGGGUAGGGGCUUACAAAGGUUUUGACGGGUAGCCGGCCUGAGAGGGUGACCGGCCACAUUGGGACUGAGAUACGGCCCAGACUCCUACGGGAGGCAGCAGUGGAGAAUAUUGCACAAUGGGCGGAAGCCUGAUGCAGCAACGCCGCGUGCGGGAUGACGGCCUUCGGGUUGUAAACCGCUUUCGCCUGUGACGAAGCGUGAGUGACGGUAAUGGGUAAAGAAGCACCGGCUAACUACGUG